rnacentral:rRNA from 1 species
GGUCAAGUGAAGAAGCGCAUACGGUGGAUGCCUUGGCAGUCAGAGGCGAUGAAAGACGUGGUAGCCUGCGAAAAGCUUCGGGGAGUCGGCAAACAGACUUUGAUCCGGAGAUGUCUGAAUGGGGGAACCCAGCCAUCAUAAGAUGGUUAUCUUGUACUGAAUACAUAGGUGCAAGAGGCGAACCAGGGGAACUGAAACAUCUAAGUACCCUGAGGAAAAGAAAUCAACCGAGAUUCCCUUAGUAGUGGCGAGCGAACGGGGACUAGCCCUUAAGUGGCUUUGAGAUUAGCGGAACGCUCUGGAAAGUGCGGCCAUAGUGGGUGAUAGCCCUGUACGCGAAAAUCUCUUAGUCAUGAAAUCGAGUAGGACGGAGCACGAGAAACUUUGUCUGAAUAUGGGGGGACCAUCCUCCAAGGCUAAAUACUACUGACUGACCGAUAGUGAACUAGUACCGUGAGGGAAAGGCGAAAAGAACCCCGGAGAGGGGAGUGAAAUAGAUCCUGAAACCGUAUGCGUACAAGCAGUGGGAGCCCACUUUGUUGGGUGACUGCGUACCUUUUGUAUAAUGGGUCAG